rnacentral:rRNA from 1 species
UACGGGGGGAGGCAAGCGUUGUUCGGAUUUACUGGGCGUAAAGGGCGCGUAGGCGGCCUCCGCAAGUCAAUUGUGAAAUCUCCGGGCUUAACUCGGAAAGGUCAACUGAUACUGCGGGGCUAGAGUGCGGAAGGGGCAACUGGAAUUCCAGGUGUAGCGGUGAAAUGCGUAGAUAUCUGGAGGAACACCGGUGGCGAAGGCGGCAUCCUGGACCGACAUUGACGCUGAGGCGCGAAAGCCAGGGGAGCAAACAGG